CAGUAGCCGCGGGAAUACGGAGGGUGCAAGCGUUAAUCGGAAUUACUGGGCGUAAAGCGCACGCAGGCGGUCUGUCAAGUCGGAUGUGAAAGCCCCGGGCUCAACCUGGGAAUGGCAAUGGAUACUGGCGAGCUAGAGUGUGUCAGAGGAUGGUGGAAUUCCCGGUGUAGCGGUGAAAUGCGUAGAGAUCGGGAGGAACAUCAGUGGCGAAGGCGGCCAUCUGGGACAACACUGACGCUGAGGCACGAAAGCGUGGGGAGCAAACAGGAUUAGAUACCCCCGUAGUCCCUGUCUCUUAUAC
rnacentral:rRNA from 1 species